rnacentral:rRNA from 1 species
UACGAAGGGUGCAAGCGUUAAUCGGAAUUACUGGGCGUAAAGGGUGCGUAGGCGGUUCGUUAAGUCUGUCGUGAAAUCCCCGGGCUCAACCUGGGAAUGGCGAUGGAUACUGGCGAGCUAGAGUGUGUCAGAGGAUGGUGGAAUUCCCGGUGUAGCGGUGAAAUGCGUAGAGAUCGGGAGGAACAUCAGUGGCGAAGGCGGCCAUCUGGGACAACACUGACGCUGAAGCACGAAAGCGUGGGGAGCGAACCGG